rnacentral:rRNA from 1 species
UACUCCUACGGGAGGCAGCAGUAGGGAAUCUUCCGCAAUGGACGAAAGUCUGACGGAGCAACGCCGCGUGAGUGAAGAAGGUUUUCGGAUCGUAAAACUCUGUUGUUAGGGAAGAACAAGUGCCGUUCGAAUAGGGCGGCACCUUGACGGUACCUAACCAGAAAGCCACGGCUAACUACGUGCCAGCAGCCGCGGUAAUGCAACA